rnacentral:rRNA from 1 species
ACGGGUGAGUGGCAGACGGCUGAGGAAAGGACGGAAGAAACCUGCCCCUCGGGGGGGGAGUAACUCCGCGAAAGCGGGGCUAAGACCGCGUACGCUCGUGCGGGGAAGAGCCGGACGAGGAAAACGGAAACGUGCCGAGGGAGGGGCUUCUGGCCCAUCAGGUAGUUGGCGGGGUAAGCGCCCACCAAGCCGAUGACGGGUCGCUGGUCUGAGAGGAUGACCAGCCAGACUGGGACUGAGACACGGCCCAG